AUCCAUGAAGCUACUGAAUAUGGGGGUAUCAAGCAACGCAUUUUGCACUCUUUAGUUCCAAGCAGAGAAGAAAGGAGGAGCCAACUUGCUUUGGUCUGUCUGCAGCUUCUGAGGGCAAAGCAUCACACUCCUGCAUUACCAGUUUGAUGAUCGAGGAAGCAGAUCAGACUGCCAAUCUAAGUUUCUGCUAUCUCGAGCUUCUUGUCUGCUGUCUGCUGUUAAGGUGGUGCCGAUGAGUUAGAUUGAUCCAACUUGCAGCUGAUUCUCUCUCAUGGUCUUCAGCAGAGGAACCCAUCCAGUGAUUCCUGAUUCCUGAGUAGUUAUUCCCGUCAUUUGAAGAUUUGUUAAGUGAGGCAGCUGCAUUCAUCUCUUGGCUGGUCUUGGACAGAGAAAUUGAUCAUGAGUCCGGUCCUCGUCAGUUGAUUAUGGCUUAACUUUGCUGCUGCUUUUCUUUCUUGGUCUUGGGCAGAUCAUGAGUUCUGUUGGAUACGAGGGCGUAAUGUGAUGCUCGUUGGUUUUGCUGCUUCUUUUUGAGAAACCGGGUUUCGUUGCUUCUAGUUGCACACGAUUGUAUAUUGGAAAAAGAAGGGAACUGUGAUCCAAGUUUCUGUUCUCUCGAGCUUCACUCCCCUGCUGUCUGUUGAGGUGGUGCCAAGAUCGUGAACGGAUUGGUUAGAUUGAUCAGAUUUGCAGCUGAUUUUCUCUCUGGGUCUUCGACGGAGAACAGUUGAAGAUUUAUAAAGUUUUAAGCUGCUUUUAUCUCUUUCUUGGCCUUGAACGGAGGAAUUCAUCAUGAGUAGUACUCACC